CUAGAAGGACGGAUUCUCCGAGUCGCUGGAGGACUCAGGAGUCAUCGCCGGUGGAGAAUUGGAGUUAUUGGCCCCGAUUUGUUGCAGACGCAAGAUGCAACAUUUAAAUCGGGCCGGCGUUGCUGGUGAGUAAAUUCGUGGUGGAAAUAUAACGCAGCUGACAUUUGUGCCACUACAGCAGCCGUUAUUUGCGUUUGCAAUUUAUUUGAAUUGCAGUUCCGGAUGUGAGUCCCGCGCAGCCGUCAUUGCGAUUUUCUUGGAGCCGCUGGCAUCAUUUGACGGUGGAGUCUGGCUGGAUUUGGGCAGAGAGCUCGUCGCUUUAAGUGGAGUCGGGUGUUGCCAGCAGCGCCGCGUCUUCCAGUCAUUUCGCCAGGAAACUGCCAACCCAUUUUCGGGAUUCAUCGCCAGUCGUCCAGAGGGUCCAGAACGUUGUAAAUUCCCGCGCCGCCGUCUUGUUGCAAGGUCCGGAAAGUUGCUGCAUCUCAGCUGGAGUCCGUCAUAAGAUCGGCAAGGAAGUCGUCAUUUUAUUUGGAGUCGUCGGAAGCGCCGCUUCUGUAGGCCAUUUCGCCAGGAAAAGAGAACCAUCUUGCAGUCGCCGGGCCAAAAUGCUUUGCCGAGGGCCGCCGCUCGAGAAAGUCCAUGGAAUUGGAUGCAUAAAAUUGGAUUAGAUAAGUGUGCUUAUGUGUUUAAUUUUUGUUUUGUCUGAUUUUGGUUUCUUGUCUUUUCUUUUGCAGGUCCAGUUGUCCGGGAUUUAUCAAAUUUGGAGGACAAUUUUUCAGACGUUUCUACAAGGAUGUCGUUGUAUUUUGCCGUCGGGAUUGGAAACGGUAUACAUACAUUGCCCAUACAUUGCUCACCAAAAGGCUGCAGGAGUAAUCGUUCGUGUGUGUCGUGUUACCACUGUCUGUCGUGUCAUUAUUGUCAUUUUGCGUGUGAAUUUUUGAGACAUUCCGGCUAGUGGUAGCCGAUCGCUUGGUACUUGUGGCAUUCAGUGGUGACUGUGGCAUAGAGACGGAAUGAAAAUAGGUUGUAUUUCAGCAGCGCGCUUGCAAUUUAAAUUAUGGAAAACGAAACAAGGUUCCUGUUGUCAACCUAUUUAAGCAAAAUGCCAAUAAAUUUACACACAUUGUCCAUUGAGCCACAAAUGAAUCUACAUUUUUAAUUGUACCUAGUUACAUGGCAUAUUUGAAUACUUAAGAUGUCUACUAUUUUUCCGACAAAUGUAACAAUAUAUACAAAUACUACAUAUAUCUGCGAGAACGCAAUGUCAGUCAAAAAUAAUGUUAAAGCUGAAUGUCUCAGUAGCAUACUUACGAUGGAAACUGCAAAUUGUAAAACUUAAGACAUAGGGAACCUAAAAAUUAUAAAAGAAAUAGAACCAGCACACAUUUUAAUAUUAAACACACAGAACACAACCAUUGAAUCAAACUGUACUACUAAAAUUUCCAUUAGGGGAUCCGCAUUAGUAACGAAAACUGCAAAGUAGUUGUAAACCAAAUUCCGUGCGACAAGGAGCUAUCUCAGUACGAGGAGAUGAUAGAUGCCCACAUCCCAAUCAUAAAGAAUAUAAAUUUCACCGAGAGCACAGAAGACAUCAACCUACAUAAGCUGAACCUUGUAGUAUAUACAUACAUGUAUAAUAAUAAUAAUUACAAAAUUACACAUAUAAAUCAUAAUAAUAAGACAACCAAUAUGUAAACAUAAGUCCACCCUAGAAUCUUAAGUCCACCCUAUCUUAAUAUGCUAAUUCAGCAAUGUACGCAUUUAGGGGUUGCGCUUGACUUCCAUUGGUUAUCGAGCAUGAACUUCAUACAUGCAUAUUGCUGUUUUUGCUAGUGUCAGCACUUUUGCUGUCACGAACGAUCGGCCUGCAGGCCACGCUGAGUCUCAGUUAUAAAAUAAGAAUAUAUCAAGAAGUGCACGUUGUGAAGAAAAAUCAAAUAAAGAUGAAAAUAACUAAUUACAUUGGAAUUAAUUAACUACAUGGCGACCGUGACAGGACCAACCUUCGGAAGGACCAAAAAUAAAAAGAAAAUUUUUUAAAAUAAAAGCGACAACAAGUACGAGUGGCAAUCCGUCACUUAUACCAACGUUGGAAGAUAUGCAGAUGCCAACUACAACAACACCAGCGCGGGAGACCUAAAAAUUGAACACCAAAGUUACUAAUAAAAAUCGUUGGUGUUCGAUUUUACUGAAUAGCAGAGCUGAAUACAAAAAGGAUGGCAAAAAUAAACUGAAUUCCAACCAAGAAGAUACGUGACCAGAGGACUGCGAGGGAAUUUGGAGCCCUUUUUGUCAUGGAACCUGUGCGAUGACCAGCACCGGUACCGCCUGAUCCCAAAGGCUCCGGGCAGCAGCAGAUUGUCAUCGAGGAAGUGUCAGCGUGUCAGCACCGGCGACGACCAGCUGACACAGGAAAAAGAAGACAUCAACAACUAUAACAUAAGAUGACAUCAAGCAGAAAUUUUUUUAAUAAAAUAUUUAAGAUACAAGAAUAUAAUAUCCAUAAAAUUGUA